rnacentral:rRNA from 1 species
GACGAACGCUGGCGGCGUGCUUAACACAUGCAAGUCGAACGAGAGCGUAGAGAAAGCUUGCUUUUUCUACAAUCUAGUGGCAAACGGGUGAGUAACGCGUAAACAACCUGCCCUACGGAUGGGGACAACAGCUGGAAACGGCUGCUAAUACCGAAUACGUUCCGAAAGUCGCAUGACUAUCGGAAGAAAGGAUGGCCUCUAUUUAUAAGCUAUCGCCGGAGGAGGAGUUUGCGUCUGAUUAGCUAGUUGGAGGGGUAACGGCCCACCAAGGCGACGAUCAGUAGCCGGUCUGAGAGGAUGAACGGCCACAUUGGAACUGAGACACGGUCCAGACUCCUACGGGAGGCAGCAGUGGGGAAUCUUCCGCAAUGGGCGAAAGCCUGACGGAGCAACGCCGCGUGAGUGAAGACGGCCUUCGGGUUGUAAAGCUCUGUUAUACGGGACGAAUAAUCUUGUGGUUAAUACCCAUGAGAAGUGACGGUACCGUAAGAGAAAGCCACGGCUAACUACGUG